CCUACGGGAGGCUGCAGUGGGGAAUAUUGGGCCAUGGGCGCAAGCCUGACCCAGCAACGCCGCGUGAAGGCAGCAGGCUUUCGGGUUGUAAACUUCUUUUCUCAGGGACGAAGCAAGUGACGGUACCUGAGGAAUAAGCCACUGCUCACUACGUGCCAGCAGCCGCGGUAAUACGUAGGUGGCAAGCGUUAUCCGGCUUUACUGGGUGUAAAGGGCGUGUAGGCGGGACUGCAAGUCAGAUGUGAAAACCAUGGGCUCAACCUAUGGCCUGCAUUUGAAACUGUAGUUCUUGAGUACUGGAGAGGCAGACGGAAGUCCUAGUGUAGCGGUGAAAUGCGUAGAUAUUAGGAGGAACACCAGUGGCGAAGGCGGUCUGCUGGACAGCAACUGACGCUGAGGCGCGAAAGCGUGGGGAGCAAACAGGAUUAGAUACCCCUGUAGUC
rnacentral:rRNA from 1 species